rnacentral:rRNA from 1 species
GACGAACGCUGGCGGCGUGCUUAACACAUGCAAGUCGAACGGAAAGGCCCUGCUUUUGUGGGGUGCUCGAGUGGCGAACGGGUGAGUAACACGUGAGUAACCUGCCCUUGACUUUGGGAUAACUUCAGGAAACUGGGGCUAAUACCGGAUAGGAGCUCCUGCUGCAUGGUGGGGGUUGGAAAGUUUCGGCGGUUGGGGAUGGACUCGCGGCUUAUUAGCUUGUUGGUGGGGUAGUGGCUUACCAAGGCUUUGACGGGUAGCCGGCCUGAGAGGGUGACCAGCCACAAUGGGACUGAGAUACGGCCCAGACUCCUACGGGAGGCAGCAGUGGGGAAUAUUGCACAGUGGGCGGAAGCCUGAUGCAGCAACGCCGCGUGCGGGAUGACGGCCUUCGGGUUGUAAACCGCUUUCGCCUGUGACGAAGCGUGAGUGACGGUAAUGGGUAAAGAAGCACCGGCUAACUACGUG